rnacentral:rRNA from 1 species
AUUGAACGCUGGCGGCAGGCCUAACACAUGCAAGUCGAACGGUAACAGGAAACAGCUUGCUGUUUCGCUGACGAGUGGCGGACGGGUGAGUAAUGUCUGGGAAACUGCCUGAUGGAGGGGGAUAACUACUGGAAACGGUAGCUAAUACCGCAUAACGUCGCAAGCCCAAAGAGGGGGACCUUCGGGCCUCUUGCCAUCGGCUGUGCCCAGAUGGGAUUAGCUAGUAGGUGGGGUAACGGCUCACCUAGGCGACGAUCCCCAGCUGGUCUGAGAGGAUGACCAGCCACACUGGAACUGAGACACGGUCCAGACUCCUACGGGAGGCAGCAGUAGGGAAUAUUGCACAAUGGGCGCAAGCCUGAUGCAGCCAUGCCGCGUGUAUGAAGAAGGCCUUCGGGUUGUAAAGUACUUUCAGCGGGGAGGAAGGGAGUAAAGUUAAUACCUUUACUCAUUGACGUUACCCGCAGAAAAAGCACCGGCUAACUCCGUG